rnacentral:rRNA from 1 species
UCUACGGAUGUGAAGUCAUUGAUGCCAUGCUUCCAGGAAAAGCCUCUAAGCUUCAGAUUGUAAGGAAUCGUACCCCAAACCGACACAGGUGGUCGGGUAGAGAAUACCAAGGCGCUUGAGAGAACUCGGGUGAAGGAACUAGGCAAAAUGGUACCGUAACUUCGGGAGAAGGUACGCUCUCGACGGUGAAGUCCCUCGCGGAUGGAGCUAUUGAGAGUCGCAGAUACCAGGUGGCUGCAACUGUUUAUUAAAAACACAGCACUGUGCAAAAUCGCAAGAUGACGUAUACGGUGUGACGCCUGCCCGGUGCCGGAAGGUUAAUUGAUGGGGUUAGACUUCGGUCGAAGCUCUUGAUCGAAGCCCCGGUAAACGGCGGCCGUAACUAUAACGGUCCUAAGGUAGCGAAAUUCCUUGUCGGGUAAGUUCCGACCUGCACGAAUGGCGUAAUGAUGGCCACGCUGUCUCCACCCGAGACUCAGUGAAAUUGAAAUCGCUGUGAAGAUGCAGUGUACCCGCGGCUAGACGGAAAGACCCCGUGAACCUUUACUACAGCUUGGCACUGAACAUUGACCCUACAUGUGUAGGAUAGGUGGGAGGCUUUGAAGCGCAGUCGCUAGAUUGCGUGGAGCCGUCCUUGAAAUACCACCCUUGUAGUGUUGAUGUUCUAACGUCGACCCCUUAUCGGGGUUGCGGACAGUGCCUGGUGGGUAGUUUGACUGGGGCGGUCUCCUCCCAAAGCGUAACGGAGGAGCACGAAGGUGGGCUAAUCACGGUUGGACAUCGUGAGGUUAGUGCAAUGGCAUAAGCCCGCUUGACUGCGAGAAUGACAAUUCGAGCAGGUGCGAAAGCAGGUCAUAGUGAUCCGGUGGUUCUGAAUGGAAGGGCCAUCGCUCAACGGAUAAAAGGUACUCCGGGGAUAACAGGCUGAUACCGCCCAAGAGUUCAUAUCGACGGCGGUGUUUGGCACCUCGAUGUCGGCUCAUCACAUCCUGGGGCUGAAGUCGGUCCCAAGGGUAUGGCUGUUCGCCAUUUAAAGUGGUACGCGAGCUGGGUUUAGAACGUCGUGAGACAGUUCGGUCCCUAUCUGCCGUGGGCGUUGGAGAAUUGAAAGGGGCUGCUCCUAGUACGAGAGGACCGGAGUGGACGAACCUCUGGUGUUCGGGUUGUGUCGCCAGACGCAUUGCCCGGUAGCUAAGUUCGGGAUCGAUAACCGCUGAAAGCAUCUAAGCGGGAAGCGAGCCUUGAGAUGAGUUCUCCCUGAUACUUUAAGUAUCCUAAAGGGUUGUCGUAGACUACGACGUUGAUAGGCAGGGUGUGUAAGCGUUGUGAGGCGUUGAGCUAACCUGUACUAAUUGCCCGUGAGGCUUAACCAU